UUAAUAUAAAAAAAACCAAAAAGAAAAAAAAAAGAGUCGUUACUAAAGAAAUAGUAUGCUUAAAUAAGCCAUACAAUCGGUAGUCAUUCACAUCAUUCCCAAGCACAUACUAAUAAAAACUUAAAGGUACUUCAAUUGCUUCGUAAACCUAUAAUAGUACAAACAAUUGUACGAGAAUGAGGUUGGCGACGAAACUCAGCUAACUGAAUGUCUUGCCAAGUACCCAAGCUCAACUUCCCAUUAGUAAUGGGAACAGUUAAACUAGGUCCAAUUAAGCUAGAUUUAACAUGAGCAGGCAUAUCGUCUAAUCCUUCUGCAGUAUGACGGUAGCCUGCUGAUUCAGGGACAAUUUUAUCCAAUAUAUCGUUCAUGUCAGCUCGCGUAUCUGCGUCCC